rnacentral:rRNA from 1 species
UAAAGGUAUUCCGGUAGACGAUGGGGAUGCGUUCCAUUAGAUAGUAGGCGGGGUAACGGCCCACCUAGUCUUCGAUGGAUAGGGGUUCUGAGAGGAAGGUCCCCCACAUUGGAACUGAGACACGGUCCAAACUCCUACGGGAGGCAGCAGUGAGGAAUAUUGGUCAAUGGGCGCAGGCCUGAACCAGCCAAGUAGCGUGAAGGAUGACUGCCCUAUGGGUUGUAAACUUCUUUUAUAAAGGAAUAAAGUCGGGUAUGUAUACCCGUUUGCAUGUACUUUAUGAAUAAGGAUCGGCUAACUCCGUGCCAGCAGCCGCGGUAAUACGGAGGAUCCGAGCGUUAUCCGGAUUUAUUGGGUUUAAAGGGAGCGUAGAUGGAUGUUUAAGUCAGUUGUGAAAGUUUGCGGCUCAACCGUAAAAUUGCAGUUGAUACUGGAUAUCUUGAGUGCAGUUGAGGCAGGCGGAAUUCGUGGUGUAGCGGUGAAAUGCUUAGAUAUCACGAAGAACUCCGAUUGCGAAGGCAGCCUGCUAAGCUGCAACUGACAUUGAGGCUCGAAAGUGUGGGUAUCAAACAGGAUUAGAUACCCUGGUAGUCCACACGGUAAACGAUGAAUACUCGCUGUUUGCGAUAUACUGCAA